UUGGGCUAAAGCGUCCGUAGCUGGCCCUGCAAGUCCGUCGGGAAAUCCACUCGCCUAACGAGUGGGCGUCCGGCGGAAACUACAGGGCUUGGGACCGGAAGACUUGAGGGGUACGUCUGGGGUAGGAGUGAAAUCCUGUAAUCCUGGACGGACCGCCGAUAGCGAAAGCACCUCAAGACGACGGAUCCGACAGUGAGGGACGAAAGCUAGGGUCUCGAAC
rnacentral:rRNA from 1 species